UGGGGAAUUUUGCACAAUGGGGGAAACCCUGAUGCAGCGACGCCGCGUGAUUUAGAAGGCCUUCGGGUUGUAAAAAUCUUUUCUAUGGGAAGAAAAUGACAGUACCAUAGGAAUAAGGACCGGCUAAUUACGUGCCAGCAGCCGCGGUAAUACGUAAGGUCCGAGCGUUGUCCGGAAUCAUUGGGCGUAAAGGGUACGUAGGCGGGUAAGCAAGUUAGAAGUGAAAUCCUAUAGCUCAACUAUAGUAAGCUUUUAAAACUGAUCAUAUGGAGGUAUGGAAGGGAAAGUGGAAUUACUAGUGGAGCGGUGAAAUGCGCAGAUAUUAGGAGGAAGACCGGUGGCGAAGGCGACUUUCUGGCCAUAACCUGACGCUGAGGUACGAAAGCGUGGGUAGCAAACAGG
rnacentral:rRNA from 1 species